rnacentral:lncRNA from 1 species
UUCCUAGAAAUCUCGGUCGAAAAAAGGACGUUUAGUAAUUCUAAAAGGGACUACAGGAUGAAAAACAAUAGUUUUGGCAGUUAAAGUUUGAGAUUCGAUGGUGCCGUAGAUCCGUUUGGUCAUCAGGUGUUACGAGCCACACCCAUGUCUAGCUAGAGUAGUGUGCUAGGUUCAGACUAGAGAAGAAACGGGGAACAAAGUGAUUAAAGAAUGAUCAUACCGAGGGAAUUCACUCAGAACUAACAAGAAUGAUAACGUGCUCCGACUGGAGCGGUUUAGGAACUGCUGGAAGGCUCUAGGGGAAUAAAGAUGGAAUGACUUCUAAUUUUUACGUCCGUAUGAUUUGAAAUACAUGCACACAAACCACGCAAAAGCGUUCCUGGAAAUCUCAGCCUAAAAAAGGACGUUUAGUAAUUCUAAAAGGGACUACAGGAUGAAAAAUAAUAGUUUGGGCAGUUAAAAUUUGAGAUUCGACGCUGCCGUAGAUCCGUUUGGUCAUCAGGUCUUACGAGCCACACCCAUGUCUAGCUAGAAUAGUGUGUUAGGCUCAGGCUAGAGAAGAAACGGGGAACAAACUGAUGAAAGAAUGAUCAUACCGAGGGAAUUCACUCAGAACUAACAAGAAUGAUAACGUGCUCCGACUGGAGCAGUUUAGAAACUCCUGGAAGGCUCUAGGGGAAUAAAGAUGGAAUGACUUCAAAGUUUUAGGUCCGUAUGAUUUGAAAUACUUGCACACAAACCGCGUGAAAGCGUUCCUGGAAAUCUCAACCCAAAAAAGGGCGUUUAGUAAUUCUAAAAGGGACUACAGGAUGUAAAACAAUAGUUUUGGCAGUUAAAGUUUGAGAUUCGAUGGUGCCGUAGAUCCGUUUGGUCAUCAGGUGUAACGAGCCACACCCAUGUCUAGCUAGAGUAGUGUGCUAGGCUCAGACUAGAGAAGAAACGGGGAACAAAGUGAUGAAAGAAUGAUCAUACCGAGGGAAUUCACUCAUAACUAACAAGAAUGAUAACGUGCUCUGACUUGAGCGGUUUAGGAACUGCUGGAAGGCUAUAGGGGAAUAAAGAUGGAAUGACUUCAAAUUUUUAGGUCCGUAUGAUCUGAAAUACUUGCACACAAACCGCGAGAAAGCGUUCCUGGAAAUCUCAACCCAAAAAAGGACGUUUAGUAAUUCUAAAAGGGACUACAGGAUGAAAAACAAUAGUUCUGGCAGUUAUUGUUUGAGAUUCGAUAAUCUCGUAGAUCCGUUUGGUCAUCAGGUGUAACGAGCCACACCCAUGUCUAGCUAGAGUAGUGUGCUAGGCUCAGACUAGAGAAGAAACGGGGAACAAACUGAUGAAAGAAUGAUCAUACCGAGGGAAUUCACUUAGAACUAACAAGAAUGAUAACGUGCUCCGACUGGAGCGGUUUAGGAACUGCUGGAAGGCUCUAGGGGAAUAAAGAAGGAACGACUUCUAAUUUUUAGGUCCGUAUGAUUUGAAAUAUGUGCACACAAACCACGAGAAAGCGUUCCUAGAAAUCUCGGCCCAAAAGAGGACGUUUAGUAUUCUAAAAGGGACUACAGAAUGAAAAACAAUAGUUUUGGCAGUUAAAGUUUGAGAUUUGACGGUGCCGUAGAUCUGUUUGGUCAUCAGGGGUUACGAGCCACACCCAUGUCUAGCUAGAAUAGUGUGUUAGGCUCAGGCUAGAAAAGAAACGGGGAACAAAGUGAUGAAAGAAUGAUCAUACCGAGGGAAUUCACUCAGAACUAACAAGAAUGAUAACAUGCUCCGACUGGAGCGGUUUAGGAACUGCUGGAAGGCUCUAGGGGAAUAAAGAUGGAAUGACUUCUAAUUUUUAGGUCCGUAUGAUUUGAAAUACUUGCACACAAACCGCGCGAAAGCGUUCCUGGAAAUCUCAGCCCAAAAAAGGACGUUUAGUAAUUCUAAAAGGGACUACAGGAUGAAAAACAAUAGUUUUGGCAGUUAAAGUAUGAGAUUCAACGGUGCCGUAGAUCCGUUUGGUCAUUAGGUGUUACGAGCCACACCCAUGUCUAGCUAGAAUAGUGUGCUAGGCUCAGGCUAGAGAAGAAACGGGGAACAAACUGAUGAAAGAAUGAUCAAACCGAGGGAAUUCACUCAGAACUAACAAUAAUGAUAACGUGCUCCGACUGGAGCGGUUUAGGAACUGCUGGAAGUCUCUAGGGGAAUAAAGAUGGAAUGACUUCUAAUUUUUACGUUCGUAUGAUUUGAAAAACUUGCCCAUAAACCGCGCGAAAGUGUUCCUGGAAAUCUCAGCCCAAAAAAGGACGUUUAGUAAUUUUAAAAGGGACUACACGAUGAAAAACAAUAGUUUUGGCAGGUAAAGUUUGAGAUUCGACAGUGCCGUAGAUCCGUUUGGUCAUCAGGUGUUACGAGCCACACCCAUGUCUAGCUAGAAUAGUAUGUUACGCUCAGGUUAGAGAAGAAACGGGGAACAAACUGAUGAAAGAUGAUCAUACCAAGGGAAUUCACUCAGAACUAACAAGAAUGAUAACGUGCUCCGACUGGAGCGGUUUAGGAACUGCUGGAAGGCUCUAGGGGAAUAAAGAUGGAAUGACUUCUAAUUUUUACGUCUGUAUGAUUUGAAAUACUUGCACACAAACAACGCAAAAGCAUUCCUGGAAAUCUCAUCCUAAAAAAGGACGUUUAGUAAUUCUAAAAGGGACUACAGGAUGAAAAAUAAUAGUUUGGGAAGUUAAAAUUUGAGAUUCGAUAGUGCCGUAGAUCCGUUUGGUCAUCAGGUGUUAGGAGCCACACCCAUGUCUAGCUAGAAUAGUGUGUUAGGCUCAGGCUAGAGAAGAAACAGGGAACAAACUGAUGAAAGAAUGAUCAUACCGAGGGAAUUCACUCAGAACUAGCAAGAAUGAUAACGUGCUCCGACUGGAGCAGUUUUGAAACUGCUGGAAGGCUCUAGGGGAAUAAUGAUGGAAUGACUUCUAAGUUUUUGGUCCGUAUGAUUUGAAAUACGUGCACACAAACCCAGAGAAAGUGUUCUUGGAAAUCUCGGCCGAAAAAAGGAUGUUUAAUAAUUCUAAAAGGGACUACAGGAUGAAAAACAAUAGUUUUGGCAGUUAAAGUUUGUGAUUCGAUGGUGCUGUAGAUCUGUUUGGUCAUCAGGUGUUAUGAGCCACACCCAUGUCUAGCUAGAACAGUGUGUUAGGCUCAGGCUAGAGCAGAAACGGGGAACAAACUUAUGAAAGAAUGAUCAUACCGAGGGAAUUCACUCAGAACUAACAAGAAUGAUAACGUGCUCCGACUGGAGAGGUUUAGGAACUGCUGGAAGGCUCUAGGGGAAUAAAGAUGGAAUGACUUCAAAUUUUUAGGUCUGUAUGAUCUGAAAUACUUGCACACAAACCGCGAGAAAGCGUUCCUGGAAAUCUCAGCCCAAAAAAGGACGUUUAGUGAUUCUAAAAGGGACUACGGGAUAAAAAACAAUAGUUUUGGCAGUUAAAGUUUGAGAUUCGAUAAUGCCGUAGAUCCGUUUGGUCAUCAGGUGUAACGAGCCACACCCAUGUCUAGCUAGAGUAGUGUGCUAGGCUCAUACUAGAGAAGAAAUGGGGAACAAACUGAUGAAAGAAUGAUCAUACCGAGGGAGUUCACUCAAAACUAACAUGAAUGAUAACGUGCUCCGACUGGAGCGGUUUAGGAACUGCUGGAAGGCUCUAGGGGAAUAAAGAUGGAAUGACUUCUAAUUUUUAGGUCCGUAUGAUUUGAAAUACAUGCACACAAACCCCAAGAAAGCGUUCCUGGAAAUCUCGCCCCGAAAAACGACGUUUAGUAAUUCUAAAAGGGACUAUAGGAUGAAAAACAAUAGUUUUGGCAGUUAAAGUUUGAGAUUUGACGGUGCCGUAGAUCUGUUUGGUCAUCAGGUGUUACGAGCCACACCCAUUUCUAGCUAGAAUAGUGUGUUAGGCUCAGGCUAGAAAAGAAACGGGGAACAAAGUGAUGAAAGAAUGAUCAUACCGAGGGAAUUCACUCAGAACUAACAAGAAUGAUAACAUGGUCCGACUGGAGCGGUUUAGGAACUGCUGGAAGGCUCUAGGGGAAUAAAGAUGGAAUGACUUCUAACUUUUAGGUCCGUAUGAUUUGAAUUACUUGCACACAAACCGCGCGAAAGCGUUCCUGGAAAUCUCAGCCCAAAAAAGGACGUUUAGUAAUUCUAAAAGGGACUACAGGAUGAAAAACAAUAGUUUUGGCAGUUAAAGUUUGAGAUUCGACGGUGCCGUAGAUCCGUUUGGUCAGCAGGUGUUACGAGCCACACCCAUGUCUAGCUAGAGUAGUGUGCUAGGUUCAGACUAGAGAAGAAAUGUUGGGGAACGUAGCAGAAAUUCAAAAUUUUCCUACGUGUCACCAAGAUCUAUCUAUGGAGAGACUAGCAACGAGGGAAGGAGAGUGCAUCUACAUACCCUUGUAGAUCGCUAAGCGGAAGCGUUCAAGUGAACGGGGUUGAUGGAGUCGUACUCGUCGUGAUUCAGCUCACCGAUGAUCCUAGUGCCGAACGGACGGCACCUCCGCGUUCAACACACGUACAGCUCGACGAUGUCUCCCACGCCUUGAUCCAGCAAGGAGAGAGGGAGAGGUUGAGGAAGACUCCAUCCAGCAGAAGCACAACGGCGUGGUGGUGAUGGAGGAGCAUGGCAAUCCUGCAGGGCUUCGCCAAGCACCUAUGGGAGAGGAGGAGGUGUCACGGGAGGGAGGGAGGCGCCAAGGGCUCAGGUAUAGAUGCCCUCCCUCCCCUCCACUAUAUAUAGGGGCAAGGGAGAGGGGGGAGGCGCAGCCUUGCCCCUUCCUCCAAGGAAGGGGUGCGGCUAAGAGGGGGGGAGGAGUCCAUCCUCCCCAAGGCACCUCGGAGGUGCCUUCCCCCUUUAGGACUCUCCCCUUUUUCCUAUAUCUUGGCGCAUGGGCCUCUAGGGGCUGGUUCCCUUGGCCCAUGUAGGCCCAGGCGCACCCCCUACAGCCCAUGUGGCCCCCCGGGGCAGGUGGCCCCACCUGGUGGGCCCCCGGGACCCUUCCGGUGGUCCCGGUACAAUACCGAUGACCCCGAAACUUGUCCCGAUGGCCGAAACAGGACUUCCUAUAUAUAAAUCUUUACCUCCGGACAAUUCCGGAACUCCUCGUGACGUCCGGGAUCUCAUCCGGGACUCCGAACAACAUUCGGUAACCACAUACAAACUUCCUUUAUAACCCUAGCGUCAUCGAACCUUAAGUGUGUAGACCCUACGGGUUCGGGAGACAUGUAGUCAUGACCGAGAUGUUCUCCGGUCAAUAACCAACAGCGGGAUCUGGAUACCCAUGUUGGCUCCCACAUGUUCCACGAUGAUCUCAUCGGAUGAACCACGAUGUCAAGGACUCAAUCAAUCCCGUAUACAAUUCCCUUUGUCUAGCGGUAUGGUACUUGCCCGAGAUUCGAUCGUCGGUAUACCGAUACCUUGUUCAAUCUCGUUACCGGCAAGUCUCUUUACUCAUUUCGUAACACAUCAUCCCGUGAUCAACCCCUUGGUCACAUUGUGCACAUUAUGAUGAUGUCCUACCGAGUGGGCCCAGAGAUACCUCUCCGUUUACACGGAGUGACAAAAUCCCAAUCUCGAUUCGUGCCAACCCAACAGACACUUUCAGAGAUACCCGUAGUGUACCUUUACAGCCACCCAGUUACGUUGUGACGUUUGGCACACCCAAAGCACUCCUACAGUAUCCGGGAGUUGCACAAUCUCAUGGUCUAAGGAAAUGAUACUUGACAUUAGAAAAGCUUUAGCAUACGAACUACAUGAUCUUGUGCUAGGCUUAGGAUUGGGUCUUGUCCAUCACAUCAUUCUCCUAAUGAUGUGAUCCCGUUAUCAACGACAUCCAAUGUCCAUGGUCAGGAAACCGUAACCAUCUAUUGAUUAACGAGCUAGUCAACUAGAGGCUUACUAGGGACAUGGUGUUGUCUAUGUAUCCACACAUGUAUCUAAGUUUCCUAUCAAUACAAUUCUAGCAUGGAUAAUAAACGAUUAUCAUGAACAAGGAAAUAUAAUAAUAAUCAAUUUAUUAUUGCCUCUAGGGCAUAUUUCCAACAGUCUCCCACUUGCACUAGAGUCAAUAAUCUAGUUCACAUCGAUAUGUGAUUAACACUCAAGGUCACAUUCCCAUGUGACUAACACCCAAGAGUUUACUAGAGUCAAUAAUCUAGUUCACAUUUACCAUGUGAUUAACACUUGAUGAGUUCUGGGUUUGAUCAUGUUAUGCUUGUGAGAGAGGUUAUAGUCAACGGGUCUGAACCUUUCAGAUCCGUGUGUGCUUUACAAAUCUCUAUGUCAUCUCCUAGAUGCAGCUACCACGUUCUAUUUGGAGCUAUUCCAAAUAACUGUUCUACUUGGAGCUAUUCUAAAUUGUUGCUCCAUUAUACGUAUCCGGUAUCUCUACUCAGAGCUAUCCGGAUAGGUGUUAAGCUUGCAUCGACGUAACCCUUUACGACGAACUCUUUUACCACCUCCAUAAUUGAGAAAAUUCCUUAGUCCACUAGUUACUAAGGAUAACUUUGACCGCUGUCCUGUGAUCCAUUCUUGGAUCACUCUUGUACCCCUUGACUGACUCAUGGUAAAGCACACUUCAGGUGCGGUACACAGCAUAGCAUACUGUAGAGCCUAUGUCUUAAGCAUAGGGGACGACCUUCGUUCCUUUCUCUCUAUUCUGCCAUGGUCGAGCUUUAAGUCUUAACUUCAUACCUUACAACUCAGGCAAGAACUCCUUCUUUGACUGAUCCAUCUUGAACACCUUCAAGAUCACGUCAAGGCAUGUGCUCACGUCAAGAUCACGUCGGUAUACCGAUACCUUGUUCAAUCUCGUUACCGGCAAGUCUCUUUACUCGUUCCGUAACACAUCAUCCCGUGAUCAACCCCUUGGUCACAUUGUGCACAUUAUGAUGAUGUCCUACCGAGUGGGCCCAGAGAUACCUCUCCGUUUACACGGAGUGACAAAAUCCCAAUCUCGAUUCGUGCCAACCCAACAGACACUUUCAGAGAUACCCGUAGUGUACCUUUAUAGCCACCCAGUUACGUUGUGACGUUUGGCACACCCAAAGCACUCCUACGGUAUCCGGGAGUUGCACAAUCUCAUGGUCUAAGGAAAUGAUACUUGACAUUAGAAAAGCUUUAGCAUACGAACUACAUGAUCUUGUGCUAGGCUUAGGAUUGGGUCUUGUCCAUCACAUCAUUCUCCUAAUGAUGUGAUCCCGUUAUCAACGACAUCCAAUGUCCAUGGUCAGGAAACCGUAACCAUCUAUUGAUUAACGAGCCAGUCAACUAGAGGCUUACUAGGGACAUGGUGUUGUCUAUGUAUCCACACAUGUAUCUGAGUUUCCUAUCAAUACAAUUCUAGCAUGGAUAAUAAACGAUUAUCAUGAACAAGGAAAUAUAAUAAUAAUCAAUUUAUUAUUGCCUCUAGGGCAUAUUUCCAACAGUCUCCCACUUGCACUAGAGUCAAUAAUCUAGUUCACAUCACCAUGUGAUUAACACUGACAGGUCACAUCACCAUGUGACCAACAUCCAAAGAGUCUUGGGUUUGAUCAUGUUGCUUGUGAGAGAGGUUAUAGUCAACGGGUCUGAACCUUUCAGAUCCGUGUGUGCUUUACAAAUCUCUAUGUCAUCUCCUAGAUGCAGCUACCACGUUCUAUUUGGAGCUAUUCCAAAUAACUGUUCUACUUGGAGCUAUUCUAAAUUGUUGCUCCAUUAUACGUAUCCGGUAUCUCUACUCAGAGCUAUCCGGAUAGGUGUUAAGCUUGCAUCGACGUAACCCUUUACGACGAACUCUUUUACCACCUCCAUAAUUGAGAAAAUUCCUUAGUCCACUAGUUACUAAGGAUAACUUUGACCGCUGUCCUGCGAUCCAUUCUUGGAUCACCCUUGUACCCCUUGACUGACUCAUGGUAAAGCACACUUCAGGUGCGGUACACAGCAUAGCAUACUGUAGAGCCUAUGUCUUAAGCAUAGGGGAUGACCUUCGUUCCUUUCUCUCUAUUCUGCCAUGGUCGAGCUUUAAGUCUUAACUUCAUACCUUACAACUCAGGCAAGAACUCCUUCUUUGACUGGUCCAUCUUGAACACCUUCAAGAUCAUGUCAAGGUAUGUGCUCAUUUGAAAGUACUAUUAAGCGUUUUGAUCUAUCCUUAUAGAUCUUGAUGCUCAAUGUUCAAGUAGCUUAAUCCAGGUUUUCCAUUGAAAACACUUUCCAAAUAACCCUAUAUGCUUUCCAGAAAUUCUACGUCAUUUCUGAUCAUUAAUAUGUCAACAACAUAUAAUCAUCAGAAAUUCUAUAGUGCUCCCACUCACUUCUUUGGAAAUACAAGUUUCUCAUAAACUUUGUAUACACCCAAAAUCUUUGAUCAUCAUCAAAGCAUACAUUCCAACUCCGAGAUGCUCACUCCAGUCCUCAGAAGGAUUGCUGGAGCUUUGCAUACUUAUUAGCAUAUUUCAGGAUAGACAAAACCUUCCAGUUGUAUCACAUACAACCUUUCCUCAAGAAUCGUCGACGAAACAAUGUUUUGACAUCCUAUCUGCAAGAUUUCAUAAAUAAUGCAGUAAUUGUUAAUAUAAUUCCAACAGACUCUUAGCAUCGCUACGAGUGAGAAAGUCUCAUUGUAGUCAACUCCUUGAACUUGUCAAAAAACAUCUUAACGACAAGUCGAGCUUUCUCAAUGGUGACACUUACCAUCAUUGUCUGUCUUCCUUUCAAAAUCCAUAUGUACCUAACAGCCUUACGACCAUCAAGUAGUUCUUCCAAAGUCUACACUUUGUUUUCAUACAUGGAUCCUCUCUCGGGUUUUAUGGCCAUGAGCCAUUUAUCGGAAUCCGGGCCCACCAUUGCUUCUCCAUAGCUCGUAGGUUCAUUGUUGUCUAGCAACAUGACUUCCAAGACAGGAUUACUGUACCACUCUGAAGUAGUACGUAUCCUUGUCACCCUACGAGGUUUGGGAGUGACUUGAUCUGAAGUUUCAUGAUCACUAUCAUAAGCUUCUACUUCAAUUGGUGUAGGUGCCACAGGAACAACUUCCUGUGCCCUGCUACACACUGGUUGAAGUGAUGGUUCAAUAACCUCAUCAAGUCUCCACCAUCCUCCCACUCAAUUCUUUCGAGAGAAACCUUUCCUCGAGAAAGGACCCAAUUCUAGAAACAAUUCAUAUUGCUUUCGGAUCUGAAUUAGGAAGUAUACCCAACUGUUUUGGGUGUCCUAUGAAGAUGUACUUUAUCCGCUUUGGUUUCGAGCUUAAUCCUGAAACUUUUUCACAUAAGUGUCGCAGCCCCAAACCUUUAAGAAACGACAACUUAGGUUUCUCUAAACCAUAAUUCAUACGGUGUCAUCUCAUCGGAAUUACGUGGUGCCCUAUUUAAAGUGAAUGUGGUUGUCUUUAAUGCCUAACCCAUAAACUAUCGUGGCAGUUCGAUAAGAGACAUCAUGGUAUGCAUCAUAUCCAAUAGGGUGCAACUAUGAUGUUCGGACACACCAUCACACUAUGGUGUUCCAGGCGGUAUUAAUUGUGAAACAAUUUCCACAAUGUCUUAAUUGUGUGCCAAAACUCGUAACUCAGAUACUCAUCUCUAUGAUCAUAUCAUAGACAUUUUAUCCUCUUGUCACAAUGAUCUUCUACUUCACUCUGAAAUUACUUGAACCAUUCAACAAUUCAGACUUGUGUUUCAUCAAGUAAAUAUUCUCAACAUCUACUCGAAUCAUCUGUGAAGUAAGAACAUAACGAUAUUCACUGCAUGCCUCAGCACUCAUUGGACUGCACACAUCAAAAUGUGUUACUUCCAACAAGUUGCUAUCUUGUUCCAUCUUACUGAAAACGAGGCUUUUCAGUCAUCUUGCCCAUGUGGUAUGAUUUGCAUGUCCCAAGUGAUUCAAAAAUCAAGUGAGUCAAAACGGUCCAUUUGCAUGGAGUUUCUUCAUGCAUAUACACCAAUAGACAUGGUUCGCAUGUCUCAAACUUUUCAAAAACGAGUGAGCCCAAAGAUCCAUCAAUAUGGAGCUUCUUCAUGCGUUUUAUACCGAUAUGACUUACGUGGUAGUGCCACAAGUAGGUGGUACUAUCAUUACUAUCUUUUGGCAUGAACAUGUGUAUCACUACGAUCGAGAUUUAAUAAACCAUUCAUUUUAGGUGUAAGACCAUUGAAGGUAUUAUUCAAAUAAACAGAGUAACCAUUAUUCUCCUUAAAUGAAUAACCGUAUUGCGAUAGACGUAAUCCAAUCAUGUCUAUGCUCAACGCAAACACCAAAUAACAAUUAUUUAGGUUUAACACCAAUCUCUUUGGUAGAGGGAGCGUGCGAUGCUUGAUCAUAUCAAGCAUGGAAAAACUUACAACACAUAUCGUCAGCUCACCUUUAGCUAGUCUCUGUUUAUUCCGUAGCCUUUUGUUUCGAGUUACUAACACUUAGCAACCGAACUGGUAUCUAAUACCCUGGUGCUACUAGGAGUACUAGCAAAGUACACAUUAACACAAUGUAUAUCCAAUAUACUUCUAUCGACCUUGCCAGCCUUCUUAUCUACCAAGUAUCUAGGGUAAUUCUGCUCUAGUAGUUGUUCCCCUUAUUACAGAAGCACUUAGUCUCGGGUUUGGGUUUUACCUUGGGUUUCUUCACUAGAGCAGCAGCUGAUUUGCCGUUUCAUGAAGUAUCCCUUCUUGCCCUUGCCCUUCUUGAAACUAGUGGUUCCACCAACCAUCAACAAUUGAUGCUCCUUCUUGAUUUCUACUUUCGCGGUGUCAAACAUCGCGAAUACCUCAAGGAUCAUCAUAUCUAUCCCUGAUAUGUUAUAGUUCAUCAUGAAGCUCUAACAGCUUGGUGGCAAUGACUUUGGAGAACCAUCACUAUCUCAUCUGGAAGAUCAACUCCCACUCGAUUCAAGCGAUUGUUGUACUCAGACAAUCUGAGCACAAGCUCAACGAUUGAGCUUUUCUCCCUUAGUUUGCAGGUUAAGAAAGUCAUCGGAGGUCUUAUACCUCUUGACAUGGGCACGAGCCUGAAAUCCCAAUUUCAGCCCUCAAAACAUCUCAUAUGUUUCGCGAUGUUUCAAAAACGUCUUUGGUGCCUCAACUCUAAACCGUUUAACUGAACUAUCACGUAGUUAUCAAAACGUGUAUGUCAGAUGUUCGCAACAACCACAGACAACGUUCGAGGUUCAGCACACUGAGCGGUGCAUUAAGGACAUAAGCCUUCUAUGAAGCAAUGAGGACAAUCCUCAGUUUACGGACCUAGUCCGCAUAAUUGCUACUAUCAACUUUCAACUAAUUUUUCUCUAGGAACAUAUCUAAACAGUAGAACUAUAGCGUGAGCUACGACAUAAUUUGCAAAAACCUUUUGACUAUGUUCAGGAUAAUUAAGUUCAUCUUAUGAACUCCCACUCAGAUAGACAUCCCUCUAGUCAUCUAAGUGAUUACAUGAUCCGAGUCAAACUAGGCCGUGUCCGAUCAUCACGUGAGACGGACUAGUCAUCAUCGGUGAACAUCUUCAUGUUGAUCGUAUCUUCUAUACGACUCAUGUUCGACCUUUCGGUCUUCGUGUUCCGAGGCCAUGUAUGUACAUGCUAGGCUCGUCAAGUUAACCCUAAGUGUUUCGCGUGUGUAAAUCUGUCUUACACCCGUUGUAUGUGAACGUUAGAAUCUAACACCCGAUCAUCACGUGGUGCUUCGAAACACGAACUGUCGCAACGGUGCACAGUUAGGGGAGAACACUUCUUGAAAUUGUUGUAAGGGAUCAUCUUAUUUACUACCGUCGUUCUAAGCAAAUAAGAUGUAUAAACAUGAUAAACAUCACAUGCAAUCAAAUAGUGACAUGAUAUGGCCAUCAUCACUUUGCUCCUUUUGAUCUCCAUCUUCGGGGCUCCAUGAUCAUCAUCGUCACCGGCAUGACACCAUGAUCUCCAUCAUCAUGAUCUCCAUCAUCGUGUCUUCAUGAAGUUGCCUCGCCAACUAUUACUUCUACUACUAUGGCUAACGGUUAGCAAUAAAGUAAAGUAAUUACAUGACGUUUAAGUUGACACGCAGGUCACAAAUGAAUAAAGACAACUCCUAUGGCUCCUGCCGGUUGUCAUACUCAUCGACAUGCAAGUCGUGAUUCCUAUUACAAGAACAUGAUCAAUCUCAUACAUCACAUAUAUCAUUCAUCACAUCCUUUUUGGCCAUAUCACAUCACAUAGCAUACCCUGCAAAAACAAGUUAGACGUCCUCUAAUUGUUGUUUGCAUGUUUUACGUGGCUGCUAUGGGUUUCUAGCAAGAACGUUUCUUACCUACGCAUGAACAACAACGUGAUAUGCCAAUUGCUAUUUACCCUUCAUAAGGACCCUUUUCAUCGAAUCCGAUCCGACUAAAGUGGGAGAGACAGACACCCGCCAGCCACCUUAUGCAACUAGUGCAUGUUUGUCGGUGGAACCGGUCUCACGUAAGCGUACGUGUAAGGUUGGUCCGGGCCGCUUCAUCCCACGAUGCCGCCGAAUCAAGAUAAGACUAGUAACGGCAAGCAUAUUGAACAAUAUCAACGCCCACAACUACUUUGUGUUCUACUCGUGCAAAGAAUCUACGCAAUAGACCUAGCUCAUGAUGCCACUGUUGGGGAACGUAGCAGAAAUUCAAAAUUUUCCUACGUGUCACCAAGAUCUAUCUAUGGAGAUACUAGCAACGAGGGAAGGAGAGUGCAUCUACAUACCCUUGUAGAUCGCUAAGCGGAAGCGUUCAAGUGAACGGGGUUGAUGGAGUCGUACUCGUCGUGAUUCAGAUCACCGAUGAUCCUAGUGCCGAACGGACGGCACCUCCGCGUUCAACACACGUACAGCUCGACGAUGUCUCCCACGCCUUGAUCCAGCAAGGAGAGAGGGAGAGGUUGAGGAAGACUCCAUCCAGCAGCAGCACAACGGCGUGGUGGUGAUGGAGGAGCGUGGCAAUCCUGCAGGGCUUCGCCAAGCACCUACGGGAGAGGAGGAGGUGUCACGGGAGGGAGGGAGGCGCCAAGGGCUCAGGUAUAGAUGCCCUCCCUCCCCUCCACUAUAUAUAGGGGCAAGGGAGAGGGGGAGGCGCAUCCUUGCCCCUUCCUCCAAGGAAGGGGUGCGGCUAAGAGGGGGGGAGGAGUCCAUCCUCCCCAAGGCACCUCGGAGGUGCCUUCCCCCUUUAGGACUCUCCCCUUUUUCCUAUAUCUUGGCGCAUGGGCCUCUAGGGGCUGGUGCCCUUGGCCCAUGUAGGCCAAGGCGCACCCCCCUACAGCCCAUGUGGCCCCCCGGGGCAGGUGGCCCCACCCGGUGGGCCCCCGGGACCCUUCCGGUGGUCCCGGUACAAUACCGAUGACCCCGAAACUUGUCCCGAUGGCCGAAACAGGACUUCCUAUAUAUAAAUCUUUACCUCCGGACCAUUCCGGAACUCCUCGUGACGUCCGGGAUCUCAUCCGGGACUCCGAACAACAUUCGGUAACCACAUACAAACUUCCUUUAUAACCCUAGCGUCAUCGAACCUUAAGUGUGUAGACCCUACGGGUUCGGGAGACAUGUAGUCAUGACCGAGAUGUUCUCCGGUCAAUAACCAACAGCGGGAUCUGGAUACCCAUGUUGGCUCGCACAUGUUCCACGAUGAUCUCAUCGGAUGAACCACGAUGUCAAGGACUCAAUCAAUCCCGUAUACAAUUCCCUUUGUCUAGCGGUAUGGUACUUGCCCGAGAUUCGAUCGUCGGUAUACCGAUACCUUGUUCAAUCUCGUUACCGGCAAGCCUCUUUACUCGUUCCGUAACACAUCAUCCCGUGAUCAACCCCUUGGUCACAUUGUGCACAUUAUGAUGAUGUCCUACCGAGUGGGCCCAGAGAUACCUCUCCGUUUACACGGAGUGACAAAAUCCCAAUCUCGAUUCGUGCCAACCCAACAGACACUUUCAGAGAUACCCGUAGUGUACCUUUAUAGCCACCCAGUUACGUUGUGACGUUUGGCACACCCAAAGCACUCCUACGGUAUCCGGGAGUUGCACAAUCUCAUGGUCUAAGGAAAUGAUACUUGACAUUAGAAAAGCUUUAGCAUACGAACUACAUGAUCUUGUGCUAGGCUUAGNNNNNNNNNNUGAUCAACCCCUUGGUCACAUUGUGCACAUUAUGAUGAUGUCCUACCGAGUGGGCCCAGAGAUACCUCUCCGUUUACACGGAGUGACAAAAUCCCAAUCUCGAUUCGUGCCAACCCAACAGACAUUUUCAGAGAUACCCGUAGUGUACCUUUAUAGCCACCCAGUUACGUUGUGACGUUUGGCACACCCAAAGCACUCCUACGGUAUCCGGGAGUUGCACAAUCUCAUGGUCUAAGGAAAUGAUACUUGACAUUAGAAAAGCUUUAGCAUACGAACUACAUGAUCUUGUGCUAGGCUUAGGAUUGGGUCUUGUCCAUCACAUCAUUCUCCUAAUGAUGUGAUCCCGUUAUCAACGACAUCCAAUGUCCAUGGUCAGGAAACCGUAACCAUCUAUUGAUUAACGAGCUAGUCAACUAGAGGCUUACUAGGGACAUGGUGUUGUCUAUGUAUCCACACAUGUAUCUGAGUUUCCUAUCAAUACAAUUCUAGCAUGGAUAAUAAACGAUUAUCAUGAACAAGGAAAUAUAAUAAUAAUCAAUUUAUUAUUGCCUCUAGGGCAUAUUUCCAACAAGAAACGGGGAACAAACUGAUGAAAGAAUGAUCAUACCGAGGGAAUUCACUCAGAACUAACAAGAAUGAUAACGUGCUUUGACUGGAGCGGUUUAAAAACUGCUGGAAGGCUCUAGGGGAAUAAAGAUGGAAUGCCUUCAAAUUUCUAGGUCCGUAUGAUUUGAAAUACUUGCACACAAACCGCGCGAAAGCGUUCCUGGAAAUCUCAGCCCAAAAAAGGACGUUUAGUAAUUCUAAAAGGGACUACAGAAUGAAAAACAAUAGUUUUGGCAGUUAAAGUUUGAGAUUCGAUGGUGCCGUAGAUCCGUUUGGUCAUCAGGUGUAACGAGCCACACCCAUGUCUAGCUAGAGUAGUGUGCUAGGCUCAGGCUAGAGAAGAAACGGGGAACAAACUGAUGAAAGAAUGAUCAUACCGAGGGAAUUCACUCAGAACUAACAAGAAUGAUAACGUGCUCCGACUGGAGCGGUUUAGGAACUGCUGGAAGGCUCUAGGGGAAGAAAGAAGGAAUGACUUCUAAUUUUUAGGUCCGUAUGAUUUGAAAUACGUGCACACAAACCGCGCGAAAGCGUUCCUGGAAAUCUCAGCCCAAAAAAGGACGUUUAGUAUUCUAAAAGGGACUACAGAAUGAAAAACAAUAGUUUUGGCAGUUAAAGUUUGAGAUUCGACGGUGCCGUAGAUCCGUUUGGUCAUCAGGUGUUACGAGCCACACCCAUGUCUAGCUAGAAUAGUGUGCNNNNNNNNNNNNNNNNNNNNNNNNNCGUAUGAUUUGAAAUACGUGCACACAAACCGCGCGAAAGCGUUCCUGGAAAUCUCAGCCCAAAAAAGGACGUUUAGUAUUCUAAAAGGGACUACAGAAUGAAAAACAAUAGUUUUGGCAGUUAAAGUUUGAGAUUCGACGGUGCUGUAGAUCCGUUUGGUCAUCAGGUGUUACGAGCCACACCCAUGUCUAGCUAGAAUAGUGUGCUAGGCUCAGGCUAGAGAAGAAAAGGGGAACAAACUAAUGAAAGAAUGAUCAAUACGAGGGAAUUCACUCAGAACUAACAAUAAUGAUAACGUGCUCCGACUGGAGCGGUUUAGGAACUGCUGGAAGGCUCUAGGCGAAUAAAGAUGGAAUGACUUCUAAUUUUUACGUCCGUAUGAUUUGAAAUACUUGCACACAAACCACGCAAAAGCGUUCCUGGAAAUCUCGGCCUAAAAAGGACGUUUAGUAAUUCUAAAAGGGACUACAGGAUGAAAAAUAAUAGUUUGGGCAGUUAAAAUUUGAGAUUCGACGGUGCCGUAGAUCCGUUUGGUCAUCAGGUGUUACGAGCCACACCCAUGUCUAGCUAGAAUAGUGUGUUAGGCUCAGGCUAGAGAAGAAACGAGGAACAAACUGAUGAAAGAAUGAUCAUACCAAGGGAAUUCACUCAGAACUAACAAGAAUGAUAACGUGCUCCGACUGGAGCAGUUUAGAAACUGCUGGAAGGCUCUAGGGGAAUAAAGAUGGAAUGACUUCUGAUUUUUAGGUCCGUAUGAUUUGAAAUACGUGCACACAAACCCCGCGAAAGCGUUCCUGGAAAUCUCAGCCCAAAAAAGGACGUUUAGUAAUUCUAAAAGGGACUACAACAUGAAAAACAAUAGUUUUGGCAGUUAAAGUUUGAGAUUUCAUGGUGCCGUAGAUCUGUUUGGUCAUCAGGUGUUACGAGCCACACCCAUGUCUAGCUAGAAUAGUGUGUUAGGCUCAGGCUAGAAAAGAAACGGGAAACAAAGUGAUGAAAGAAUGACCAUACCGAGGGAAUUCACUCAGAACUAACAAGAAUGAUAACAUGCUCCGACUUGAGCGGUUUAGGAACUGCUGGAAGGCUCUAGGGGAAUAAAGAUGGAAUGACUUCUAAUGUUUAGGUCCGUAUGAUUUGAAAUACUUGCACAUAAACCGCACAAAAGCGUUCCUGGAAAUCUCAGCCCAAAAAAGGACGUUUAGUAAUUCUAAAAGGGACUACAGGAUGAAAAACAAUAGUUUUGGCAGUUAAAGUUUGAGAUUCGACGGUGCCGUAGAUCCGUUUGGUCAUCAGGUGUUACGAGCCACACCCAUGUCUAGCUAGAAUAGUGUGUUAGGCUCAGGCUAGAGAAGAAACUUGGAACAAACUGAUGAAAGAAUGAUCAAACCAACGGAAUUCACUCAGAACUAACAAUAAUGAUAACGUGCUCCGACUGGAGCAGUUUAGGAACUGCUGGAAGGCUCUAGGGGAAUAAAGAUGGAAUGACUUCUAAUUUUUAGGUCCGUAUGAUUUGAAAUACUUGCACGCAAACCGCGCGAAAGCGUUCCUGGAAAUAUCAGCCCAAAAAAGGACGUUUAGUAAUUCUAAAAGGGACUACAGGAUGAAAACAAUAGUUUUGGCAGUUAAAGUUUGAGAUUCAACAGUGCCGUAGAUCCGUUUGGUCAUCAGGUGUUAUGAGCCAUACCCAUGUCUAGCUAGAGUAGUGUGCUAGGCUCAGGCUAGAGAAGAAACAGGGAACAAACUGAUGAAAGAAUGAUCAUACCGAGGGAAUUCACUCAGAACUAACAAGAAUGAUAACGUGCUCCGACUGGAGCGGUUUAGGAACUGCUGGAAGGCUCUAGGGGAAUAAAGAUGGAGUGACUUCUAAAUUUUUAGGUCCGUAUGAUUUAAAAUACUUGCACACAAACCGCACGAAAGCGUUCCUUGAAAUCUCAGCCCAAAAAAGGACGUUUAGUAAGUCUAAAAGGGACUAUAGGAUGAAAAACAAUAGUUUUGGCAGUUAAAGUUUGAGAUUCGAUGGUGCCGUAGAUCUGUUUGGUCAUCAGGUGUUACGAGCCACACCCAUGUCUAGUUGGAAUAGUGUGCUAGGCUCAGACUAGAGAAGAAACAGGGAACAAACUGAUGAAAGAAUGAUCAAACCGAGGAAAUUCACUCAGAACUAACAAUAAUGAUAACAUGCUCCGACUGGAGCGGUUUAGGAACUGCUGGAAGGCUCUAGGGGAAUAAAGAUGGAAUGACUUCUAAAUUUUUAGGUCCGUAUGAUUUGAAAUAGUUGCACACAAACUGCGCGAAAGCGUUCCUGGAAAUCUCAGCCCAAAAAAGGACGUUUAGUAAUUCUAAAAGGGACUAUAGGAUGAAAAACAAUAGUUUUGGCAGUUAAAGUUUGAGAUUCGACGGUGCCGUAGAUCCGUUUGGUCAUCACGUGUUACAAGCCACACCCAUGUCUAGCUAGAGUAGUGUGCUAGGCUCAGACUAUAGAAGAAACGGGGACCAAACUGAUGAAAGAAUGAUCAAACCGAGGAAAUUCACUCAGAACUAACAAUAAUGAUAACAUGCUCCGACUGGAGCGGUUUAGGAACUACUGGAAGGCUCUAGGGGAAUAAAGAUGGAAUGACUUCUAAAUUUUUAGGUCCGUAUGAUUUUAAAUAGUUGCACACAAACUGCGCGAAAGCGUUCCUGGAAAUCUCAGCCCAAAAAAGGACGUUUAGUAAUUCUAAAAGGGACUACAGGAUGAAAAACAAUAGUUUGGGCAGUUAAAAUUUGAGAUUCGACGGUGCCGUAGAUCCGUUUGGUCAUCAGGUGUUACGAGCCACACCCAUGUCUAGCUAGAGUAGUGUGCUAGGCUCAGGCUAGAGAAGAAACAGGGAACAAACUGAUGAAAGAAUGAUCAUACCGAGGGAAUUCACUCAGAACUAACAAGAAUGAUAACGUGCUCUGACUGGAGCGGUUUAAGAACUGUUGGAAGGCUCUAGGGGAAUAAAGAUGGAAUCACUUCAAAUUUUUACGUCCGUGUGAUUUGAAAUACUUGCACACAAACCGCACGAAAGCGUUCCUGGAAAUCUCAGCCCAAAAAAGGACGUUUAGUAAGUCUAAAAGGGACUACACGAUGAAAAACAAUAGUUUUGGCAGUUAAAGUUUGAGAUUCGACAGUGCCGUAGAUCCGUUUGGUCAUCAGGUGUAACGAGCCACACCCAUGUCUAGAUAGAGUAGUGUGCUAGGCUCAAACUAGAGAAGAAACGGGGAACAAACUGAUGAAAGAAUGAUCAUACCGAGGGAAUUCACUCAGAAAUAACAAGAAUGAUAACGUGCUCUGACUGGAGCGGUUUAGGAACUGCUGGAAGGCUCUAGGGGAAUAAAGAAGGAAUGACUUCUAAUUUUUAGGUCCGUAUGAUUUGAAAUACGUGCACACAAACCCCGAGAAAGCGUUCCUGGAAAUCUCGACCCAAAAAAGGACGUUUAGUAAUUCUAAAAGGGACUACGGGAUGAAAAACAAUAGUUUUGGCAGUUAAAGUUUGAGAUUCGAUAAUGCCGUAGAUCCAUUUGGUCAUCAGGUGUAACGAGCCACACCCAUGUCUAGCUAGAGUAGUGUGCUAGGCUCAGACUAGAGAAGAAACAGGGAACAAACUGAUGAAAGAAUGAUCAUAUCGAGGGAAUUCACUCAGAACUAACAAGAAUGAUAACAUGCUCCGACUUGAGCGGUUUAGGAACUGCUGGAAGGCUCUAGGGGAAUAAAGAUGGAAUGACUUCUAAUUUUUAGGUCCGUAUGAUUUGAAAUACUUACACACAAACCACGCGAAAGCGUUCCUGGAAAUCUCAGCCCAAAAAAGGACGUUUAGUAAUUCUAAAAGGGACUACAUGAUGAAAAACAAUAGUUUUCGCAGUUAAAGUUUGAGAUUCGACGGUGCCGUAGAUCCGUUUGGUCAUCAAGUGUUACGAGCCACACCCAUGUCUAGCUAGAAUAGUGUGUUAGGCUCAGCCUAGAGAAGAAACGGGGAACAAACUGAUGAAAGAAUGAUCAUACCGAGGGAAUUCACUCAGAACUUACAAGAAUGAUAACGUGCUCCGACUUGAGCGGUUUAAGAACUGUUGGAAGGCUCUAGGGGAAUAAAGAUGGAAUCACUUCAAAUUUUUACGUCCGUGUGAUUUGAAAUACUUGCACACAAACCCCGAGAAAGCGUUCCUGGAAAUCUCGGCCGAAAAAAGGAUGUUUAAUAAUUCUAAAAGGGACUACAGGAUGAAAAACAAUAGCUUUGGCAGUUAAAGUUUGUGAUUCGAUGGUGCCGUAGAUCUGUUUGGUCAUCAGGUGUUAUGAGCCACACCCAUGUCUAGCUAGAAUAGUGUGUUAGGCUCAGGCUAGAGCAGAAACUAGGAACAAACUUAUGAAAGAAUGAUCAUACCGAGGGAAUUCACUCAGAACUAACAAGAAUGAUAACGUGCUCCGACUGGAGCGGUUUAGGAACUGCUGGAAGGCUCUAGGGGAAUAAAGAUGGAAUGACUUCUAAUUUUUAGGUCCGUAUGAUUUGAAAUACAUGCACACAAACCCCAAGAAAGCGUUCCUAGAAAUCUCAGCCCAAAAAGGACGUUUAGUAAUUCUAAAAGGGACUACAGGAUGAAAAACAAUAGGUUUGGCAGUUAAAGUUUGAGAUUCGAUAAUGCCGUAGAUCCGUUUGGUCAUCAGGUGUAACGAGCCACACCCAUGUCUAGCUACAUUAGUGUGCUAGGCUCAGACUAGAGAAGAAACGGGGAACAAACUGAUGAAAGAAUGAUCAUACCGAGGGAAUUCACUCAGAACUAACAAGAACGAUAACAUGCUCCGACUGCAGCGGUUUAGGAACUGCUGGAAGGCUCUAGGGGAAUAAAGAAGGAAUGACUUCUAAUUUUUAGGUCCGUAUGAUUUGAAAUACUUGCACACAAACCGCGCGAAAGCAUUCCUGGAAAUCUCAGCCCAAAAAAGGACGUUUAGUAAUUCUAAAAGGGACUACAGGAUGAAAAACAAUAAUUUUGGCAGUUAAAGUUUGAGAUUCGACGGUGCCGUAGAUCCGUUUGGUCAUCAGGUGUUACGGGCCAUACCCAUGUCUAGCUAGAAUAGUGUGUUAGGCUCAGGUUAGAGAAGAAACGGGGAACAAAGUGAUGAAAGAAUGAUCAUACCGAGGGAAUUCACUCAGAACUAACAAGAAUGAUAACGUGCUCCGACUGGAGCGGUUUAGGAAUUGCUGGAAGGCUCUAGGGGAAUAAAGAUGGAAUGACUUCUAUAUUUUACGUCCGUAUGAUUUGAAAUACUUGCACACAAACCACGCAAAAGCACUCCUGGAAAUAUCAGCCUAAAAAGGAUGUUUAGUAAUUCUAAAAGGGACUACAGGAUGAAAAAUAAUAGUUUUGGCAGUUAAAAUUUGAGAUUCAACGGUGCCGUAAAUCCGUUUGGUCAUCAGGUGUUACGAGCCACACCCAUGUCUAGCUAGAAUAGUGUGUUAGGCUCAGGUUAGAGAAGAAACGGGGAACAAACUGAUGAAAGAAUGAUCAUACAAGGGGAAUUCACUCAGAACUAUCAAGAAUGAUAACGUGCUCCGACUGGAGCAGUUUAGGAACUGCCGGAAGGCUCUAGGGGAAUAAAGAUGGAAUGACUUCUAAUUUUUAUGUCCGUAUGAUUUGAAAUACUUGCACACAAACCACGCAAAAGCGUUCCUGGAAAUCUCAGCCUAAAAAGGACGUUUAGUAAUUCUAAAAGGGACUACAGGAUGAAAAACAAUAGUUUGGGCAGUUAAAAUUCGAGAUUCGACGGUGCCGUAGAUCCGUUUGGUCAUCAGGUGUUACGAGCCACACCCAUGUCUAGCUAGAAUAGUGUGUUAGGCUCAGGCUAGAGAAGAAACGGGGAACAAACUGAUGAAAGAAUGAUCAUAUCGAGGGAAUUCACUCAGAACUAACAAGAAUGAUAACGUGCUCCGACUGGAGCGGUUUAGUAACUGCUGGAAGGCUCUAGGGGAAUAAAGAUGGAAUGACUUCUAAUUAUUAGGUCCGUAAGAUUUGAAUUACAUGCACACAAACCCCGAGAAAGCGUUCCUGGAAAUCUCGGUCGAAAAAAGGAUGUUUAGUAAUUCUAAAAGGGACUACAGGAUGAAAAACAAUAGUUUUGGCAGUUAAAGUUUGUGAUUCGAUGGUGCCGUAGAUCUGUUUGGUCAUCAGGUGUUACGAGCCACACCCAUGUCUAGCUAGAAUAGUGUGUUAGGCUCAGGCUAGAGCAGAAACGGGGAACAAACUUAUGAAAGAAUGAUCAUGCCGAGGGAAUUCACUCAGAACUAACAAGAAUGAUAACGUGCUCCGACUGGAGCGGUUUAGGAACUGCUGGAAGGCUCUAGGGGAAUAAAGAUGGAAUGACAUCAAAUUUUUAGGUCCGUAUGAUUUGAAAUACUUGCACACAAACCGCAAGAAAGCGUUCUUGGAAAUCUCCGCCCAAAAAAGGACGUUUAGUAAUUCUAAAAGGGUCUACAGGAUGAAAAACAAUAGUUCUGGCAGUUAAAGUUUGAGAUUCGAUAAUGUCGUAGAUCCGUUUGGUCAUCAGGCGUAACGAGCCACACCCAUUUCUAGCUAGAGUAGUGUGCUAGGCUCAGACUAGAGAAGAAACGGGGAACAACCUGAUGAAAGAAUGAUCAUACCGAGGGAAUUCACUCAGAACUAACAAGAAUGAUAACGUGCUCCGACUGGAGCGGUUUAGGAACUGCUGGAAGGCUCUACGGGAAUAAAGAAGGAAUGACUUCUAAUUUUUAGGUCCGUAUGAUUUGAAAUACGUGCACACAAACCCCGAGAAAGCGUUCCUGGAAAUCUCGGCCCAAAAAAGGACGUUUAGUAUUCUAAAAGCGACUACAGAAUGAAAAACAAUAGUUUUGGUAGUUAAAGUUUGAGAUUUAACGGUGCCGUAGAUCUGUUUGGUCAUCAGGUGUUACGAGCCACACCCAUGUCUAGCUAGAAUAGUGUGUUAGGCUCAGGCUAGAUAAGAAACAGGGAACAAAGUGAUGAAAGAAUGAUCAUACCAAGGGAAUUCACUCAGAACUAACAAGAACGAUAACAUGCUCCGACUGGAGUGGUUUAGGAACUGCUGGAAGGCUCUAGGGGAAUAAAGAUGGAAUGACUUCUAAUUUUUAGGUCUGUAUGAUUUGAAAUACUUGCACACAAACCGCACGAAAGCGUUCCUGGAAAUCUCAUCCCAAAAAAGGACGUUUAGUAAUUCUAAAAGGGACUACAGGAUGAAAAACAAUAGUUUUGGCAGUUAAAGUUUGAGAUUCGAUAAUGCUGUAGAUCCGUUUGGUCAUCAGGUGUAACGAGCCACACCCAUGUCUAGCUAGAGUAGUGUGCUAGGCUCAGACUAGAGAAGAAACGGGGAACAAACUGAUGAAAGAAUGAUCAUACCGAGGGAAUUCACUCAGAACUAACAAUAAUGAUAACGUGCUCCGACUGGAGCGGUUUAGGAACUGCUGGAAGGCUCUAGGGGAAUAAAGAUGGAAUGAGUUCUAAUUUUUAGGUCUGUAUGAUUUGAAAUACUUGCACACAAACCGCGUGAAAGCAUUCCUGGAAAUUUCAGCCCAAAAAAGGACGUUUAGUAAUUUUAAAAGGGACUACACGAUGAAAAACAAUAGUUUUGGCAGUUAAAGUUUGAGAUUCGACGGUGCCGUAGAUCCGUUUGGUCAUCAGGUGUUACGAGCCACACCCAUGUCUAGCUAGAAUAGUAUGUUAGGCUCGGGUAAGAGAAGAAACGGGGAACAAACUGAUGAAAGAAUGAUCAUACCAAGGGAAUUCACUCAGAACUAACAAGAAUGAUAACGUGCUCCGACUGGAGCGGUUUAGGAACUGCUGGAAGGCUCUAGGGGAAUAAAGAUGGAAUGACUUCUAAUUUUUACGUUCGUAUGAUUUGAAAUACUUGCACACAAACCACGCAAAAGCGUUCCUGGAAAUCUCAUCCUAAAAAAGGACGUUUAGUAAUUCUAAAAGGGACUACAGGAUGAAAAAUAAUAGUUUGGGCAGUUAAAAUUUGAGAUUCGACGGUGCCGUAGAUCCGUUUGGUCAUCAGGUGUUACGAGCCACACCCAUGUCUAGCUAGAAUAGUGUGUUAGGCUCAGGCUAGAGAAGAAACGGGGAACAAACUGAUGAAAGAAUGAUCAUAUCGAGGGAAUUCACUCAGAACUAACAAGAAUGAUAACGUGCUCCGACUGGAGCAGUUUAGAAACUGCUGGAAGGCUCUAGGGGAAUAAAGAUGGAAUGACUUCUAAUUUUUAGGUCUGUAUGAUUUGAAAUACGUGCACACGAACCCCGAGAAAGCGUUCCUGGAAAUCUCGGCCCAAAAAAGGACGUUUAGUAAUUCUAAAAGGGACUACAGGAUGAAAAACAAUAGUUUUGGCAGUUAAAGUUUGAGAUUCGACGGUGCCGUAGAUCCGUUUGUUCAUCAGGUGUUACGAGCCACACCCAUGUCUAGCUAGAAUAGUGUGUUAGGCUCAGGCUAGAGAAGAAACGGGGAACAAACUGAUGAAAGAAUGAUCAUACCGAGGGAAUUCACUCAGAACUAACAAGAAUGAUAACGUGCUCCGACUGGAGCGGUUUAGGAACUGCUAGAAGGCUCUAGGGGAAUAAAGAAGGAAUGACUUCUAAUUUUUAGGUCCGUAUGAUUUGAAAUACGUGCACACAAACCCCGAGAAAGCGUUCCUGGAAAUCUUGGCCCAAAAAAGGACGUUUAGUAUUCUAAAAGCGACUACAGAAUGAAAAACAAUAGUUUUGCUAGUUAAAGUUUGAGAUUUGAUGGUGCCGUAGAUCUGUUUGGUCAUCAGGUUUUACGAGCCACACCCAUGUCUAGCUAGAAUAGUGUGUUAGGCUCAGGCUAGAAAAGAAACAGGGAAUAAAGUGAUGAAAGAAUGAUCAUACCAAGGGAAUUCACUCAGAACUAACAAGAACGAUAACAUGCUCCGACUGGAGUGGUUUAGAACUGCUGGAAGGCUAAAGGGGAAUAAAGAUGGAAUGACUUCUAAUUUUUAGGUCCGUAUGAUUUGAAAUACUUGCACACAAACCGCACGAAAGUGUUCCUGGAAAUCUCAGCCCAAAAAAGGACGUUUAGUAAUUCUAAAAGGGACUACAGGAUGAAAAACAAUAGUUUUGGCAGUUAAAGUUUGAGAUUCGAUAAUGACGUAGAUCCGUUUGGUCAUCAGGUGUAACGAGCCACACCCAUGUCUAGCUAGAGUAGUGUGCUAGGCUCAGACUAGAGAAGAAACGGGGAACAAACUGAUGAAAGAAUGAUCAUACCGAGGGAAUUCACUCAGAACUAACAAUAAUGAUAACGUGCUCCGACUAGAGCGGUUUAGGAACUGCUGGAAGGCUCUAGGGGAAUAAAGAUGGAAUGACUUCUAAUUUUUAGGUCCCUAUGAUUUGAAAUACUUGCACACAAACCGCGUGAAAGCAUUCCUGGAAAUUUCAGCCCAAAAAAGGACGUUUAGUAAUUUUAAAAGGGACUACACGAUGAAAAAGAAUAGUUUUGGCAGUUAAAGUUUGAGAUUCGACGGUGCCGUAGAUCCGUUUGGUCAUCAGGUGUUACGAGACACACCCAUGUCUAGCUAGAAUAGUAUGUUAGGCUCGGGUUAGAGAAGAAACGGGGAACAAACUGAUGAAAGAAUGAUCAUACCAAGGGAAUUCACUCAGAACUAACAAGAAUGAUAACGUGCUCCGACUGGAGCGGUUUAGGAACUGCUGGAAGGCUCUAGGGGAAUAAAGAUGGAAUGACUUCUAAUUUUUACGUUCGUAUGAUUUGAAAUACUUGCAAACAAACCACGCAAAAGCGUUCCUGGAAAUUUCAUCCUAAAAAAGGACGUUUAGUAAUUCUAAAAGGGACUACAGGAUGAAAAAUAAUAGUUUGGGCAGUUAAAAUUUGAGAUUCGAUGGUGCCGUAGAUCCGUUUGGUCAUCAGGUGUUACGAGCCACACCCAUGUCUAGCUAGAAUAGUGUGUUAGGCUCAGGCUAGAGAAGAAACGGGGAACAAACUGAUGAAAGAAUGAUCAUAUCGAGGGAAUUCACUCAGAACUAACAAGAAUGAUAACGUGCUCCGACUGGAGCAGUUUAGAAACUGCUGGAAGGCUCUAGGGGAAUAAAGAUGGAAUGACUUCUAAUUUUUAGGUCUGUAUGAUUUGAAAUACGUGCACACAAACCCCGAGAAAGCGUUCCUGGAAAUCUCGUCCGGAAAAAGGAUGUUUAAUAAUUCUAAAAGGGACUACAGGAUGAAAAACAAUAGUUUUGGCAGUUAAAGUUUGUGAUUCGAUGGUGCCGUAGAUCUGUUUGGUCAUCAGGUGUUACGGGCCACACCCAUGUCUAGCUAGAAUAGUGUGUUAGGCUCAGGCUAGAGCAGAAACGGGGAGCAAACUUAUGAAAGAAUGAUCAUAGCGAGGGAAUUUACUCAGAACUAACAAGAAUGAUAACGUGCUCCGACUGGAGCGGUUUAGGAACUGCUGGAAGGCUCUAGGGGAAUAAAGAUGGAAUGACUUCAAAUUUUCAGGUAUGUAUGAUCUGAAAUACUUGCACACAAACCGCGAGAAAGCGUUCCUGGAAAUCUCAACCCAAAAAAGGAUGUUUAGUAAUUCUAAAAGGGACUACAGGAUUAAAAACAAUAGUUUUGGCAGUUAAAGUUUGAGAUUCGAUAAUGUCGUAGAUCCGUUUGGUCAUCAGGUGUAACGAGCCACACCCAUGUCUAGCUAGAGUAGUGUGCUAGGCUCAUACUAGAGAAGAAACGGGGAACAAACUGAUGAAAGAAUGAUCAUACCGAGGGAAUUCACUCAGAACUAACAAGAAUGAUAACGUGCUCCGACUGGAGCGGUUUAGGAACUGCUGGAAGGCUCUAGGGGAAUAAAGAUGGAAUGACUUCUUAUUUUUAGGUCCGUAUGAUUUGAAAUACAUGCACACAAACCCCAAGAAAGCGUUCCGGGAAAUCUCGGCCCAAAGAAUGAUGUUUAGUAAUUCUAAAAGGGACUAUAGAAUGAAAAACAAUAGUUUUGGCAGUUAAAGUUUGAGAUUUGACGGUGUCGUAGAUCUGUUUGGUCAUCAGGUGUUACGAGCCACACCCAUUUCUAGCUAGAAUAGUGUGUUAGGCUCAGGCUAGAAAAGAAACGGGGAACAAAGUGAUGAAAGAAUGAUCAUACCGAGGGAAUUCACUCAGAACUAACAAGAAUGAUAACAUGCUCCGACUAGAGCGGUUUAGGAACUGCUGGAAGGCUCUAGGGGAAUAAAUAUGGAAUGACUUCUAAUUUUCAGGUCCGUAUGAUUUGAAAUACUUGCACACAAACCGCGCGAAAGCGUUCCUGGAAAUCUCAUCCCAAAGAAGGUCGUUUAGUAAUUCUAAAAGGGACUACAGGAUGAAAAACAAUAGUUUUGGCAAUUUAAGGUUUGAGAUUCGACGGUGCCGUAGAUCCGUUUGGUCAUCAGGUGUUACGAGCCACACCCAUGUCUAGCUAGAAUAGUGUGCUAGGCUCAGGCUAGAGAAGAAACAGGGAACAAACUGAUGAAAGAAUGAUCAAACCGAGGGAAUUCACUCAGAACUAACAAUAAUGAUAACGUUCUCCGUCUGGAGCGGUUUAGGAACUGCUGGAAGGCUCUAGGGGAAUAAAGAUGGAAUGACUUCUAAUUUUUAGGUCCGUAUGAUUUGAAAUACUUGCACACAAACCGCGCCAAAUCGUUCCUGGAAAUCUCAGCCCAAAAAAGGACGUUUAGUAAUUCUAAAAGGGACUACAGGAUGAAAAACAAUAGUUUUGGCAGUUAAAGUUUGAGAUUCGAUGGUGCCGUAGACCCGUUUGGUCAUCAGGUGUUACGAGCCACACCCAUGUCUAGCUAGAGUAGUGUGCUAGGUUCAGACUAGAGAAGAAACAGGGAACAAAGUGAUGAAAGAAUGAUCAUACCGAGGGAAUUCACUCAGAACUAACAAGAAUGAUAACGUGCUCCGACUGGAGCGGUUUAGGAACUGCUGGAAGGCUCUAGGGGAAUAAAGAUGGAAUGACUUCUAAUUUUUACGUCCGUAUGAUUUGAAAUACUUGCACACAAACCACGCAAAAGCGUUCCUGGAAAUCUCAGCCUAAAAAAGGACGUUUAGUAAUUCAAAAAGGGACUACAAAAUGAAAAACAAUAGUUUUGGCAGUUAAAGUUUGAGAUUCGAUGGUGCCGUAGAUCCGUUUGGUCAUCAGGUGUUACGAGCCACACCCAUGUCUAGCUAGGAUAGUGUGUUAGGCUCAGGCUAGAGAAGAAACGGGGAACAAACUGAUGAAAGAAUGAUCAUACCGAGGGAAUUCACUCAGAACUAACAAGGAUGAUAACAUGCUCCGACUAGAGCGGUUUAGGAACUGCUGGAAGGCUCUAGGGGAAUAAAGAUGGAAUGACUUCUAAUUUUUAGGUCCGUAUGAUUUGAAAUACUUGCACACAAACCGCAAGAAAGCGUUCCUGGAAAUCUCAGCCCAAAAAAGGACGUUUAGUAAUUCUAAAAGGGACUACAGGAUGAAAAACAAUAGUUCUGGCAGUUAAAGUUUGAGAUUCGAUAAUGCCGUAGAUCUGUUUGGUCAUCAGGUGUAACGAGCCACACCCAUGUCUAGCUAGAGUAGUGUGCUAGGCUCAGACUAGAGAAGAAACGGGGAACAAACUGAUGAAAGAAUGAUUAUACCGAGGGAAUUCACUCAGAACUAACGAGAAUGAUAACGUGCUCCGACUGGAGCGGUUUAGGAACUGCUGGAAGGCUCUAGGGGAAUAAAGAUGGAAUGACUUCAAAUUUUUAGGUCUGUAUGAUUUGAAAUACUUGCACACAAACCGCAAGAAAGCGUUCCUUGAAAUCUCAGCCCAAAAAAGGACGUUUAGUAAUUCUAAAAGGGACUACAGGAUGAAAAACAAUAGUUCUGGCAGUUAAAGUUUGAGAUUCGAUAAUGUCGUAGAUCCGUUUGGUCAUCAGGUGUAACGAGCCACACCCAUGUCUAGCUAGAGUAGUGUGCUAGGCUCAGAAUAGAGAAGAAACGGGGAACAAACUGAUGAAAGAAUGAUCAUACCGAGGGAAUUCACUCAGAACUAACAAGAAUGAUAACGUGCUCCGACUGGAGCGGUUUAGGAACUGCUGGAAGGCUCUAGGGGAAUAAAGAAGGAAUGACUUCUAAUUUUUAGGUCCGUAUGAUUUGAAAUACGUGCACACAAACCGCGCGAAAGCGUUCCUGGAAAUCUCAGCCAAAAAAAGGACGUUUAGUAUUCUAAAAGGGACUACAGAAUGAAAAACAAUAGUUUUGGCAGUUAAAGUUUGAGAUUCGACGGUGCUGUAGAUCCGUUUGGUCAUCAGGUGUUACGAGCCACACCCAUGUCUAGCUAGAAUAGUGUGCUAGGCUCAGGCUAGAGAAGAAAAGGGGAACAAACUAAUGAAAGAAUGAUCAAUCCGAGGGAAUUCACUCAGAACUAACAAUAAUGAUAACGUGCUCCGACUGGAGCGGUUUAGGAACUGCUGGAAGGCUCUAGGCGAAUAAAGAUGGAAUGACUUCUAAUUUUUACGUCCGUAUGAUUUGAAAUACUUGCACACAAACCACGCAAAAGCGUUCCUGGAAGUCUCGGCCUAAAAAGGACGUUUAGUAAUUCUAAAAGGGACUACAGGAUGAAAAAUAAUAGUUUGGGCAGUUAAAAUUUGAGAUUCGACGGUGCCGUAGAUCCAUUUGGUCAUCAAGUGUUACGAGCCACACCCAUGUCUAGCUAGAAUAGUGUGUUAGGCUCAGGCUAGAGAAGAAACGGGGAACAAACUGAUGAAAGAAUGAUCAUACCAAGGGAAUUCACUCAGAACUAACAAGAAUGAUAACGUGCUCCGACUGGAGCAGUUUAGAAACUGCUGGAAGGCUCUUGGGGAAUAAAGAUGGAAUGACUUCAAAUUUUUAGGUCCGUAUGAUUUGAAAUACUUGCACACAAACCACGCGAAAGCGUUCCUGGAAAUCUCAGCCCAAAAAAGGACGUUUAGUAAUUCUAAAAGGGACUACAUGAUGAAAAACAAUAGUUUUGGCAGUUAAAGUUUGAGAAUCGUCGGUGCCGUAGAUCCGUUUGGUCAUCAGCUGUAACGAGCCACACCCAUGUCUAGCUAGAGUAGUGUGCUAGGCUCAGACUAGAGAAGAAACAGGGAACAAAGUGAUGAAAGAAUGAUCAUACCGAGGGAAUUCACUUAGAACUAACAAGAAUGAUAACAUGCUCCGACUUGAGCGAUUUAGGAACUUCUGGAAGGCUCUAGGGGAAUAAAGAUGGAAUGACUCAAAUUUUUAGGCCCGUAUGAUUUGAAAUACAUGCACACAAACCGCGAGAAAGUGUUCCUGGAAAUCUUAGCCCAAAAAAGGACGUUUAGUAAUUCUAAAAGGGACUACAGGAUGAAAAACAAUAGUUUUGGUAGUUAAAGUUUCAGAUUCGAUAAUGCCCUAGAUCCGUUUGGUCAUCAGGUGUAACGAGCCACACCAAUGUCUAGCUAGAGUAGUGUGCUAGGCUCAGACUAGAUAAGAAACGGGGAAGAAACUGAUGAAAGAAUGAUCAGACCGAGGGAAUUCACUCAGAACUAACAAUAAUGAUAACGUGCUCCGAGUGGAGCGGUUUAGGAACUGCUGGAAGGCUCUAGGGGAAUAAAGAUGGAAUGACUUCUAAUUUUUAGGUCCGUAUGAUUUGAAAUACGUGCACACAAACCCCGAGAAACCGUUCCUUGAAAUCUCGGCCCAAAAAAGGACGUUUAGUAAUUCUAAAAGGGACUACAAAAUGAAAAACAAUAGUUUUGGCAGUUAAAGUUUGAGAUUCGACGGUGUCGUAGACCCGUUUGGUCUUCAGGUGUUACGAGCCACACCCAUGUCUAGCCAGAGUAGUGUGCUAGGUUCAGACUAGAGAAGAAACGGGGAACAAAGUGAUGAAAGAAUGAUCAUACCGAGGGAAUUCACUCAGAACUAACAAGAAUGAUAACGUGCUCCGACUGGAGCGGGUUAGGAACUCCUGGAAGGCUCUAGGGGAAUAAAGAUGGAAUGACUUCUAAUUUUUACGUCCGUAUGAUUUGAAAUACUUGCACACAAACCACGCAAAAGCGUUCCUGGAAAUCUCAGCCUAAAAAAGGACGUUUAGUAAUUCUAAAAGGGACUACAGGAUGAAAAAUAAUAGUUUGGUCAUCAGGUGUUACGAGCCACACCCAUGUCUAGCUAGAAUAGUGUGCUAGGCUCAGGCUAGAGAAGAAACGGGGAAUAAACUGAUGAAAGAAUGAUCAAACCGAGGGAAUUCACUCAGAACUAACAAUAAUGAUAACGUUCUCCGUCUGGAGCGGUUUAGGAACUGCUGGAAGGCUCUAGGGGAAUAAAGAUGGAAUGACUUCUAAUUUUUAGGUCCGUAUGAUACGAAAUACUUGCACACAAACCGCGCGAAAUCGUUCCUGGAAAUCUCAGCCCAAAAAAGGACGUUUAGUAAUUCUAAAAGGGACUACAGCAUGAAAAACAAUAGUUCUGGCAGUUAAAGUUUGAGAUUCGAUAAUGCCGUAGAUCCGUUUGGUCAUCAGGUGUAACGAGCCACACCCAUGUCUAGCUAGAGUAGUAUGCUAGGCUCAGACUAGAGAAGAAACGGGGAACAAACUGAUGAAAGAAUGAUUAUACCGAGGGAAUUCACUCAGAACUAACAAGAAUGAUAACGUGCUCCGGCUGGAGCGGUUUAGGAACUGCUAGAAGGCUCUAGGGGAAUAAAGAUGGAAUGACUUCAAAUUUUUAGGUCUGUAUGAUUUGAAAUACUUGCACACAAACCGCAAGAAAGCGUUCCUGGAAAUCUCAGCCCAAAAAAGGACGUUUAGUAAUUCUAAAAGGGACUAUAGGAUGAAAAACAAUAGUUCUGGUAGUUAAAGUUUGAGAUUCGAUAAUGUCAUAGAUCCGUUCGGUCAUCAGGUGUAACGAGCCACACCCAUGUCUAGCUAGAGUAGUGUGCUAGGCUCAGACUAGAGAAGAAACGGGGAACAAACUGAUGAAAGAAUGAUCAUACCGAGGGAAUUCACUCAGAACUAACAAGAAUGAUAACGUGCUCCGACUGGAGCGGUUUAGGAACUGCUGGAAGGCUCUAGGGGAAGAAAGAAGGAAUGACUUCUAAUUUUUAGGUCCGUAUGAUUUGAAAUACGUGCACACAAACCGCGCGAAAGCGUUCCUGGAAAUCUCAGCCCAAAAAAGGACGUUUAGUAUUCUAAAAGGGACUACAGAAUGAAAAACAAUAGUUUUGGCAGUUAAAGUUUGAGAUUCGACGGUGCCGUAGAUCCGUUUGGUCAUCAGGUGUUACGAGCCACACCCAUGUCUAGCUAGAAUAGUGUGCUAGGCUCAGGCUAGAGAAGAAAAGGGGAACAAACUGAUGAAAGAAUGAUCAAACCGAGGGAAUUCACUCAGAACUAACAAUAAUGAUAACGUGCUCCGACUGGAGCGGUUUAGGAACUGCUGGAAGGCUCUUGGCGAAUAAAGAUGGAAUGACUUCUAAUUUUUACGUCCGUAUGAUUUGAAAUACUUCCACACAAACCAGGCAAAGGCGUUCCUGGAAAUCUCGGCCUAAAAAGGACGUUUAGUAAUUCUAAAAGGGACUACAGGAUGAAAAAUAAUAGUUUGGGCAGUUAAAAUUUUAGAUUCGACGGUGCCGUAGAUCCGUUUGGUCAUCAGGUGUUACGAGCCACACCCAUGUCUAGCUAGAAUAGUGUGUUAGGCUCAGGCUAGAGAAGAAACGGGGAACAAACUGAUGAAAGAAUGAUCAUACCAAGGGAAUUCACUCAGAACUAACAAGAAUGAUAACGUGCUCCGACUGGAGCAGUUUAGAAACUACUGGAAGGCUCUAGGGGAAUAAAGAUGGAAUGACUUCAAAUUUUUAGGUCCGUAUGAUUUGAAAUACUUGCACACAAACCGCGCGAAAGCGUUCCUGGAAAUCUCAGCCCAAAAAAGGACGUUUAGUAAUUCUAAAAGGGACUACAUGAUGAAAAACAAUAGUUUUGGCAGUUAAAGUUUGAGAUUCGUCGGUGCCGUAGAUCCGUUUGGUCAUCAGCUGUAACGAGCCACACCCAUUUCUAGCUAGAGUAGUGUGCUAGGCUCAGACUAAAGAAGAAAUGGGGAACAAAGUGAUGAAAGAAUGCUCAUACCGAGGGAAUUCACUCAGAACUAACAAGAAUGAUAACAUGCUCCGACUUGAGCGAUUUAGGAACUUCUGGAAGGCUCUAGGGGAAUAAAGAUGGAAUGACUCAAAUUUUUAGGUCCGUAUGAUUUGAAAUACUUGCACACAAACCGCGAGAAAGCGUUCCUGGAAAUCUCAGCCCAAAAAAGGACGUUUAGUAAUUCUAAAAGGGACUACAUGAUGAAAAACAAUAGUUUUGGCAGUUAAAGUUUGAGAUUUGAUAAUGCCGUAGAUCCGUUUGGUCAUCAGGUGUAACGAGCCACACCCAUGUCUAGCUAGAGUAGUGUGCUAGGCUAAGACUAGAUAAGAAAAGGGGAAGAAACUUAUGAAAGAAUGAUCAGACCGAGGGAAUUCACUCAGAACUAACAAUAAUGAUAACGUGCUCCGACUGGAGCGGUUUAGGAACUGCUGGAAGGCUCUAGGGGAAUAAAGAUGGAAUGACUUCUAAUUUUUAGGUCCGUAUGAUUUGAAAUACGUGCACACAAACCCCGAGAAACCGUUCCUGGAAAUCUCGGCCCAAAAAAGGAUGUUUAGUAAUUCUAAAAGGGACUACAAAAUGAAAAACAAUAGUUUUGGCAGUUAAAGUUUGAGAUUUGAUGGUGCCGUAGAUCUGUUUGGUCAUCAGGUGUUACGAGCCACACCCAUGUCUAGCUAGAAUAGUGUGUUAGGCUCAGGCUAGAAAAGAAACGGGAAACAAAGUGAUGAAAGAAUGAUCAUACCGAGGGAAUUCACUCAGAACUAACAAGAAUGAUAACAUGCUCUGACUGGAGCGGUUUAGGAACUGCUGGAAGGCUCUAGGGGAAUAAAGAUGGAAUGACUUCUAAUGUUUAGGUCCGUAUGAUUUGAAAUACUUGCACAUAAACCGCGCAAAAGCGUUCCUGGAAAUCUCAGCCCAAAAAAGGACGUUUAGUAAUUCUAAAAGGGACUACAGGAUGAAAAACAAUAGUUUUGGCAGUUAAAGUUUGAGAUUCGACGGUGCCGUAGAUCCGUUUGUUCAUCAGGUGUUACGAGCCACACCCAUGUCUAGCUAGAAUAGUGUGUUAGGCUCAGGCUAGAGAAGAAACGGGGAACAAACUGAUGAAAGAAUGAUCAAACCGAGGGAAUUCACUCAGAACUAACAAUAAUGAUAACGUGCUCCGACUAGAGCGGUUUAGGAACUGCUGGAAGGCUCUAGGGGAAUAAAGAUGGAAUGACUUCUAAUUUUUAGGUCUGUAUGAUUUGAAAUACUUGCACGCAAACCGCGCGAAAGCGUUCCCGGAAAUAUCAGCCUAAAGAAGGACGUUUAGUAAUUCUAAAAGGGACUACAGGAUGAAAAACAAUAGUUUUGGCAGUUAAAGUUUGAGAUUCAACGGUGCCGUAGAUCCGUUUGGUCAUCAGGUGUUACGAGCCACACCCAUGUCUAGCUAGAGUAGUGUGCUAGGCUCAGGCUAGAGAAGAAACAGGGAACAAACUGAUGAAAGAAUGAUCAUACCGAGGGAAUUCACUCAGAACUGAUGAAAGAAUGAUCAAACCAAGGAAAUUCACUCAGAACUAACAAUAAUGAUAACAUGCUCCGACUGGAGCGGUUUAGGAACUGCUGGAAGGCUCUAGGGGAAUAAAGAUGGAAUGACUUCUAAUUUUUAGGUCCGUAUGAUUUGAAAUACGUGCACACAAACCCCGAGAAACCGUUCCUGGAAAUCUCGGCCCAAAAAAGGACGUUUAGUAAUUCUAAAAGGGACAACAAAAUGAAAAACAAUAGUUUUGGCAGUUAAAGUUUGAGAUUCGACGGUGCCGUAGACCCGUUUGGUCAUCAGGUGUUACGAGCCACACCCAUGUCUAGCUAGAGUAGUGUGCUAGGUUCAGACUAGAGAAGAAACGGGGAACAAAGUGAUGAAAGAAUGAUCAUACCGAGGGAAUUCACUCAGAACUAACAAGAAUGAUAACGUGCUCCGACUGGAGCGGGUUAGGAAUUGCUGGAAGGCUCUAGGGGAAUAAAGAUAGAAUGACUUCUAAUUUUUACGUCCGUAUGAUUUGAAAUACUUGCACACAAACCACGCAAAAGCGUUCCUAGAAAUCUCAGCCUAAAAAAGGACGUUUAGUAAUUCUAAAAGGGACUACAGGAUGAAAAAUAAUAGUUUGGCCAGUUAAAAUUUAAGAUUCGACGGUGCCGUAGAUCCGCUUGGUCAUCAGGUGUUACGAGCCACACCCAUGUCUAGCUAGAAUAGUGUGUUAGGCUCAGGCUAGAGAAGAAACGGGGAACAAACUGAUGAAAGAAUGAUCAUACCGAGGGAAUUCACUCAGAACUAACAAGAAUGAUAACAUGCUCCGACUGGAGCGGUUUAGGAACUGCUGGAAGGCUCUAGGGGAAUAAAGAUGGAAUGACUUCUAAUUUUUAGGUCCGUAUGAUUUGAAAUACUUGCACACAAACCGCAAGAAAGCGUUCCUGGAAAUCUCAGCACAAAAAAGGACGUUUAGUAAUUCUAAAAGGGACUACAGCAUGAAAAACAAUAGUUCUGGCAGUUAAAGUUUGAGAUUCGAUAAUGCCGUAGAUCCGUUUGGUCAUCAGGUGUAACGAGCCACACCCAUGUCUAGCUAGAGUAGUGUGCUAGGCUCAGACUAGAGAAGAAACGGGGAACAAAAUGAUGAAAGAAUGAUUAUACCGAGGGAAUUCACUCAGAACUAACAAGAAUGAUAACGUGCUCCGACUGGAGCGGUUUAGGAACUGCUGGAAGGCUCUAGGGGAAUAAAGAUGGAAUGACUUCAAAUUUUUAGGUCUGUAUGAUUUGAAAUACUUGCACACAAACCGCAAGAAAGCGUUCCUGGAAAUCUCAGCCCAAAAAUGGACGUUUAGUAAUUCUAAAAGGGACUAUAGGAUGAAAAACAAUAGUUCUGGCAGUUAAAGUUUGAGAUUCGAUAAUGUCGUAGAUCCGUUCGGUCAUCAGGUGUAACGAGCCACACCCAUGUCUAGCUAGAGUAGUGUGCUAGGCUCAGACUAGAGAAGAAACGGGGAACAAACUGAUGAAAGAAUGAUCAUACCGAGGGAAUUCACUCAGAACUAACAAGAAUGAUAACGUGCUCCGACUGGAGCGGUUUAGGAACUGCUGGAAGGCUCUAGGGGAAGAAAGAAGGAAUGACUUCUAAUUUUUAGGUCCGUAUGAUUUGAAAUACGUGCACACAAACCGCGCGAAAGCGUUCCUGGAAAUCUCAGCCCAAAAAAGGACGUUUAGUAUUCUAAAAGGGACUACAGAAUGAAAAACAAUAGUUUUGGCAGUUAAAGUUUGAGAUUCGACGGUGCCGUAGAUCCGUUUGGUCAUCAGGUGUUACGAGCCACACCCAUGUCUAGCUAGAAUAGUGUGCCAGGCUCAGGCUAGAGAAGAAAAGGGGAACAAACUGAUGAAAGAAUGAUCAAACCGAGGGAUUUCACUCAGAACUAACAAUAAUGAUAACGUGCUCCGACUGGAGCGGUUUAGGAACUGCUGGAAGGCUCUAGGCGAAUAAAGAUGGAAUGACUUCUAAUUUUUACGUCCGUAUGAUUUUAAAUACUUGCACACAAACCACGCAAAAGCGUUCCUGGAAAUCUCGGCCUAAAAAGGACGUUUAGUAAUUCUAAAAGGGACUACAGGAUGAAAAAUAAUAGUUUGGGCAGUUAAAAUUUGAGAUUCGACGGUGCCGUAGAUCCGUUUGGUCAUCAGGUGUUACGAGCCACACCCAUGUCUAGCUAGAAUAGUGUGUUAGGCUCAGGCUAGAGAAGAAACAGGGAACAAACUGAUGAAAGAAUGAUCAUACCAAGGGAAUUCACUCAGAACUAACAAGAAUGAUAACGUGCUCCGACUGGAGCAGUUUAGAAACUGCUGGAAGGCUCUAGGGGAAUAAAGAUGGGAUGACUUCAAAUUUUUAGGUCCGUAUGAUUUGAAAUACUUGCACACAAACCGCGCGAAAGCGUUCCUGGAAAUCGCAGCCCAAAAAAGGACGUUUAGUAAUUCUAAAAGGGACUACAUGAUGAAAAACAAUAGUUUUGGCAGUUAAAGUUUGAGAUUCGUCGGUGCCGUAGAUCCGUUUGGUCAUCAGCUGUAACGAGCCACACCCAUGUCUAGCUAGAGUAGUGUGCUAGGCUCAGACUAGAGAAGAAAUGGGGAAAAAAGUGAUGAAAGAAUGAUCAUACCGAGGGAAUUCACUCAGAACUAACAAGAAUGAUAACAUGCUCCGACAUGAGCGAUUUAGGAACUUCUGGAAGGCUCUAGGGGAAUAAAGAUGGAAUGACUCAAAUUUUUAGGUCCGUAUGAUUUGAAAUACUUGCACACAAACCGCGAGAAAGCGUUCCUGGAAAUCUCAGCCCAAAAAAGGACAUUUAGUAAUUCUAAAAGGGACUACAGGAUGAAAAACAAUAGUUUUGGCAGUUAAAGUUUGAGAUUUGAUAAUGCCGUAGAUCCGUUUGGUCAUCAGGUGUAACGAGCCACACCCAUGUCUAGCUAGAGUAGUGUGCUAGGCUAAGACUAGAUAAGAAACCGGGAAGAAACUAAUGAAAGAAUGAUCAGACCGAGGGAAUUCACUCAGAACUAACAAUAAUGAUAACGUGCUCCGACUGGAGCGGUUUAGGAACUGCUGGAAGGCUCUAGGGGAAUAAAGAUGAAAUGACUUCUAAUUUUUAGGUUCGUAUGAUUUGAAAUACAUGCACACAAACCCCGAGAAACCGUUCCUGGAAAUCUCGGCCCAAAAAAGGAUGUUUAGUAAUUCUAAAAGGGACUACAAAAUGAAAAACAAUAGUUUUGGUAGUUAAAGUUUGAGAUUUGAUGGUGCCAUAGAUCUGUUUGGUCAUCAGGUGUUACGAGCCACACCCAUGUCUAGCUAGAAUAGUGUGUUAGGCUCAGGCUAGAAAAGAAACGGGAAACAAAGUGAUGAAAGAAUGAUCAUACCGAGGGAAUUCACUCAGAACUAACAAGAAUGAUAACAUGCUCUGACUGGAGCGGUUUAGGAACUGCUGGAAGGCUCUAGGGGAAUAAAGAUGGAAUGACUUCUAAUGUUUAGGUCCGAGGUCCGUAUGAUUUGAAAUACUUGCACAUAAACCGUGCAAAAGCGUUCCUGGAAAUCUCAGCCCAAAAAAGGACGUUUAGUAAUUCUAAAAGGGACUACAGGAUGAAAAACAAUAGUUUUGGCAGUUAAAGUUUGAGAUUCGACGGUGCCGUAGAUCCGUUCGUUCAUCAGGUGUUACGAGCCACACCCAUGUCUAGCUAGAAUAGUGUGUUAGGCUCAGGCUAGAGAAGAAACGGGGAACAAACUGAUGAAAGAAUGAUCAAACCGAGGGAAUUCACUCAGAACUAACAAUAAUGAUAACGUGCUCCGACUAGAGCGGUUUAGGAACUGCUGGAAGGCUCUAGGGGAAUAAAGAUGGAAUGACUUCUAAUUUUUAGGUCUGUAUGAUUUGAAAUACUUGCACGCAAACCGCGCGAAAGCGUUCCCGGAAAUAUCAGCCCAAAAAAGGACGUUUAGUAAUUCUAAAAGGGACUACAGGAUGAAAAACAAUAGUUUUGGCAGUUAAAGUUUGAGAUUCAACGGUGCCGUAGAUCCGUUUGGUCAUCAGGUGUUACGAGCCACACCCAUGUCUAGCUAGAGUAGUGUGCUAGGCUCAGGCUAGAGAAGAAACAGGGAACAAACUGAUGAAAGAAUGAUCAUACCGAGGGAAUUCACUCAGAACUGAUGAAAGAAUGAUCAAACCGAGGAAAUUCACUCAGAACUAACAAUAAUGAUAACAUGCUCCGACUGGAGCGGUUUAGGAACUGCUGGAAGGCUCUAGGGGAAUAAAGAUGGAAUGACUUCUAAUUUUUAGGUCCGUAUGAUUUGAAAUACGGGCACACAAACCCCGAGAAACCGUUCCUGGAAAUCUCGGCCCGAAAAAGGACGUUUAGUAAUUCUAAAAGGGACUACAAAAUGAAAAACAAUAGUUUUGGCAGUUAAAGUUUGAGAUUCGACGGUGCCGUAGACCCGUUCGGUCAUCAGGUGUAACGAGCCACACCCAUGUCUAGCUAGAGUAGUGUGCUAGGCUCAGACUAGAGAAGAAACGGGGAACAAACUGAUGAAAGAAUGAUCAUACCGAGGGAAUUCACUCAGAACUAACAAGAAUGAUAACGUGCUCCGACUGGAGCGGUUUAGGAACUGCUAGAAGGCUCUAGGGGAAGAAAGAAGGAAUGACUUCUAAUUUUUAGGUCUGUAUGAUUUGAAAUACGUGCACACAAACCGCGCGAAAGCGUUCCUGGAAAUCUCAGCCCAAAAAAGGACGUUUAGUAUUCUAAAAGGGACUACAGAAUGAAAAACAAUAGUUUUAGCAGUUAAAGUUUGAGAUUCGACGGUGCCGUAGAUCCGUCUGGUCAUCAGGUGUUACGAGCCACACCCAUGUCUAGCUAGAAUAGUGUGCUAGGCUCAGGCUAGAGAAGAAAAGGGGAACAAACUGAUGAAAGAAUGAUCAAACCGAGGGAAUUCACUCAGAACUAACAAUAAUGAUAACGUGCUCCGACUGGAGCGGUUUAGGAACUGCUGGAAGGCUCUAGGCGAAUAAAGAUGGAAUGACUUCUAAUUUUUACGUCCGUAUGAUUUGAAAUACUUGCACACAAACCACGCAAAAGCGUUCCUGGAAAUCUCGGCCUAAAAAGGACGUUUAGUAAUUCUAAAAGGGACUACAGGAUGAAAAAUAAUAGUUUGGGCAGUUAAAAUUUGAGAUUCGACGGUGCCGUAGAUCCGUUUGGUCAUCAGGUGUUACGAGCCACACCCAUCUCUAGCUAGAAUAGUGUGUUAGGCUCAGGCUAGAGAAGAAACGGGGAACAAACUGAUG